rnacentral:rRNA from 1 species
UACGAAGGGGGCUAGCGUUGUUCGGAAUCACUGGGCGUAAAGCGCACGUAGGCGGAUUGCUAAGUCAGGGGUGAAAUCCUGGAGCUCAACUCCAGAACUGCCUUUGAUACUGGGAAUCUCGAGUCCGGGAGAGGUGAGUGGAACUGCGAGUGUAGAGGUGAAAUUCGUAGAUAUUCGCAAGAACACCAGUGGCGAAGGCGGCUCACUGGCCCGGUACUGACGCUGAGGUGCGAAAGCGUGGGGAGCAAACAGG